rnacentral:rRNA from 1 species
AUACGGAGGGUGCAAGCGUUAUUCGGAAUCACUGGGCGUAAAGGACGCGUAGGCGGGUUGGCAAGUCAGAUGUGAAAUCCUACAGCUUAACUGUAGAACUGCAUUUGAAACUGCUAACCUAGAGUAUGGGAGGGGGAGAUGGAAUUAGUGGUGUAGGGGUAAAAUCCGUAGAUAUCACUAGGAAUACCAAAAGCGAAGGCAAUCUUCUGGAACACUACUGACGCUGAGGCGCGAAAGCGUGGGGAGCAAACGGGAUUAGAAACCCUAGUAGUCC